rnacentral:rRNA from 1 species
AGGGAAUCUUCCGCAAUGGGCGAAAGUCUGACGGAGCAACGCCGCGUGAGUGAUGUAGGUUUUCGGAUCGUAAAGCUCUGUUGUUAGGGAAGAACAAGUGUCGUUCAAAUAGGGCGGCACCUUGACGGUACCUACCCAGAAAGCCACGGCUAACUACGUGCCAGCAGCCGCGGUAAUACGUAGGUGGCAAGCGUUGUCCGGAAUUAUUGGGCGUAAAGGGCUCGCAGGCGGUUUCUUAAGUCUGAUGUGAAAGCCCCCGGCUCAACCGGGGAGGGUCAUUGGAAACUGGGGAACUUGAGUGCAGAAGAGGAGAGUGGAAUUCCACGUGUAGCGGUGAAAUGCGUAGAGAUGUGGAGGAACACCAGUGGCGAAGGCGACUCUCUGGUCUGUAACUGACGCUGAGGAGCGAAAGCGUGGGGAGCGAACA